rnacentral:rRNA from 1 species
CACGUAGGGCGCAAGCGUUGUCCGGAAUUAUUGGGCGUAAAGAGCUCGUAGGCGGUCUGUUGCGUCGGCUGUGAAAACUCGGGGCUCAACCCCGAGCCUGCAGUCGAUACGGGCAGACUAGAGUGCUGUAGGGGAGACUGGAAUUCCUGGUGUAGCGGUGAAAUGCACAGAUAUCAGGAGGAACACCGGUGGCGAAGGCGGGUCUCUGGGCAGUAACUGACGCUGAGGAGCGAAAGCGUGGGGAGCGAACAGG